GAUGAACGCUGGCGGCGUGCCUAAUACAUGCAAGUCGAGCGAACGGACGAGAAGCUUGCUUCUCUGAUGUUAGCGGCGGACGGGUGAGUAACACGUGGAUAACCUACCUAUAAGACUGGGAUAACUUCGGGAAACCGGAGCUAAUACCGGAUAAUAUUUUGAACCGCAUGGUUCAAAAGUGAAAGACGGUCUUGCUGUCACUUAUAGAUGGAUCCGCGCUGCAUUAGCUAGUUGGUAAGGUAACGGCUUACCAAGGCAACGAUGCAUAGCCGACCUGAGAGGGUGAUCGGCCACACUGGAACUGAGACACGGUCCAGACUCCUACGGGAGGCAGCAGUAGGGAAUCUUCCGCAAUGGGCGAAAGCCUGACGGAGCAACGCCGCGUGAGUGAUGAAGGUCUUCGGAUCGUAAAACUCUGUUAUUAGGGAAGAACAUAUGUGUAAGUAACUGUGCACAUCUUGACGGUACCUAAUCAGAAAGCCACGGCUAACUACGUGCCAGCAGCCGCGGUAAUACGUAGGUGGCAAGCGUUAUCCGGAAUUAUUGGGCGUAAAGCGCGCGUAGGCGGUUUUUUAAGUCUGAUGUGAAAGCCCACGGCUCAACCGUGGAGGGUCAUUGGAAACUGGAAAACUUGAGUGCAGAAGAGGAAAGUGGAAUUCCAUGUGUAGCGGUGAAAUGCGCAGAGAUAUGGAGGAACACCAGUGGCGAAGGCGACUUUCUGGUCUGUAACUGACGCUGAUGUGCGAAAGCGUGGGGAUCAAACAGGAUUAGAUACCCUGGUAGUCCACGCCGUAAACGAUGAGUGCUAAGUGUUAGGGGGUUUCCGCCCCUUAGUGCUGCAGCUAACGCAUUAAGCACUCCGCCUGGGGAGUACGACCGCAAGGUUGAAACUCAAAGGAAUUGACGGGGACCCGCACAAGCGGUGGAGCAUGUGGUUUAAUUCGAAGCAACGCGAAGAACCUUACCAAAUCUUGACAUCCUUUGACAACUCUAGAGAUAGAGCUUUCCCCUUCGGGGGACAAAGUGACAGGUGGUGCAUGGUUGUCGUCAGCUCGUGUCGUGAGAUGUUGGGUUAAGUCCCGCAACGAGCGCAACCCUUAAGCUUAGUUGCCAUCAUUAAGUUGGGCACCCUAAGUUGACUGCCGGUGACAAACCGGAGGAAGGUGGGGAUGACGUCAAAUCAUCAUGCCCCUUAUGGUUUGGGCUACACACGUGCUACAAUGGACAAUACAAAGGGCAGCGAAACCGCGAGGUCAAGCAAAUCCCAUAAAGUUGUUCUCAGUUCGGAUUGUAGUCUGCAACUCGACUACAUGAAGCUGGAAUCGCUAGUAAUCGUAGAUCAGCAUGCUACGGUGAAUACGUUCCCGGGUCU
rnacentral:rRNA from 1 species